AUUAUGCCAAUGGGUUUUCUGCUUGGCCAGCACCAUCUUGUCUGCUCCUUACUGUACAUGUGGCUGGCAAAGAGAAGAUGCAGCCAUCGUUUUGAACAUGUCUAUUCCCAUCUUGGAAGGCACAAUACACACAGGUCUUCAUGGUCCACCAGAGCUCUACAGCUACGGGCCAGCCAGGAGGUGGCCAGCUGCUGGGCGCUCUUCUGAAGCAGACAGGAUUUCACUCUGUUGCGGAGGCUGGAUCACAGCUCACUGCAACCUUGAAUUUCUCCCUCAAGCAAUCCUCCCUGCUCUGCCUUUCAAAGCACUAGCAUUACAGAACUAAGCCACCACUCCCAGCCACUGUAAUGUAAAUUGUCUUCUUUAACAUUUCCAAUGGUUGCAGAGUAGAUCAGAUAAGGGUUCUUCUUGACCAUUGCUUCAAGUUUCAUUCUGUCUUUAAAUGAUUGAAGGUUGACUUCCAUGGUUUCCCAAAGAAUGUGGAAAGUGUGUCUUCAGAUCCAUAUAGUGUUCAUGGAACCCCCAGAGAAGGCUGACGUAAAACCCUUUAUUUUCUCCCAAAUGUCUCAAAAAGUUGUAUUUCCUGGGUCCAAGGGAUCUGCAAGCCUCUAAAGGCAUUUCCAUUGUCACUACCAUCAGGUGUGAACUGUAAUCUGGCACAGUCCCAAGAACUGUCAUCAUACAUGCUGAAGAAACAUUGUGAUGGUAACUUGCUGUUACCAACUGUGAAGUCAUUAGCUAGAGGAAUCUUGGGCUGUCUGAAAUCUGAAACACUGUGGAAAGAACAGAAAGAUCCUGUCUGUUUCCCACAGUUGGGAACUUCUAUUGGAAGUUGUCAUUUUCCACAGGAGACAUUCUGUUUUAUUUUCUUGAGACAGGGUCUCACUCUUGUCGCCCAGGCUGGAGUACAGUGUUGCUACCUCAGGCCACUGCUGCCUCCAUUGCCUCAGGAUUGCCCAAGCAAUCCUCCCACCUCAGUCACCUGAGUAGCUGGAGCCACAGGCCUGCACCACCACGCCCAGCUAAUUAUUUUUAUUUGUAGAAACAAGGUCUCUCUAUCUUACCUAGGCUGGUCUCGAACUCCUGGGCUGAAGUAAUCCUCCUGCCAUGGCUUCUCAAAGUACUUGGGAUUACAGAUAUGAGCUACCAUGCCCGGCCUCACAGGAGACAUUCUUAAUGUCCUUCUUGACAGUCCACAAAUCUUUUUUUUUUUUUUUAAGACAGGGUCUUGCUCUGUUACCCGGGCUGGAGUGCAGUGGUGCCAUCAUAGCUCACUACAGCCUCGAACUCCUGAGCUCAAGGGGUCUUCCCACCUUAGCCUCCUGAGUAGCUGGGACUACAGGUACUUGCCACAAGGCCCAGAUAAUUUAUUAAAUUAUUAUUAUUUUGUAGAGACAGGGUAUCACUAUGUUGCCCAGGCUGGUCUCAAACUCCUGGCCUCAAAUAAUCUUCUGCCUCAGCCUCCCUAGGUAUCAGCUGUCAUGCCUGGCUACAAAUCUUAAUGCUUUCCCUGUGGUUUCCCUUUCUGGUGUUCUUUUCUCAGGUAAUCAAAGCGGGAAAAGAUCAUUCUCUAAUGAUCUUUCCCCUAGGAUCCAGUGUGUAGGAAUUAAAGAAAAAGGAAAGAAACACAGACAGUGGCUUGAUGGUCAAGGAUAUUUUAGAGAAAACAAACCUUACGGGCUUCUGGCUGAGUUAGGUCAGAGGCACUCUCUCUCACCGUUUUUAAGGAUUCAGGGUGGGAGUGUUUAUCAGAGGCUUGAAUUGCUUCUGUGUCUCUUUAGUUGUGCUUAUCUGGGAGGGAGAGUUGUGUGUCUGUUCCAAUACAUCUUUCUGCAGUGCAGGCAUAUUCCCCGAGUCUGCUUUUAGCUUUCCUAUCUUAGUGUACCUGAAGGGAAAGGAAUGUGCUUAUUAAGGCCCACUAUUUUCCUGGGGCCGAUUGUAUAAGGGGAAGUUUGGCAGUUACCCAAGAGACUUUUCCCCCACCUCCCUCUGUGCCCCAGCUGUCUUAUCUGUAUUUUACUGCCUGCUCUUUCUGGCUGCUUGUAGUUAGAAAAGAAGUGAUUUUCUCGAAAUGCAUGAGGCUAGAAGAGGAGGUAUAACUUAAAGUGGCAGUGUUUGUCCAGGAUGACGGUGCUCCUACUUUGUGACAGUGGGCAUGGGGAUUCAGGCCACUGCCAGUGAAUUUCAGAGCCCACACACAGAGGCCAGAACUACAUUGUGAGGGUUUCAAAAAAAAAA